UACGGGGGGAGCAAGCGUUGUUCGGAUUUACUGGGCGUAAAGGGCGCGUAGGCGGUCAGCACAAGUCAGUUGUGAAAUCUCCGGGCUUAACUCGGAAAGGUCAACUGAUACUGUGCGACUAGAGUGCAGAAGGGGCAACUGGAAUUCUGGUGUAGCGGUGAAAUGCGUAGAUAUCGAAGAGGAACACCUGCGGCGAAGGCGGGUUGCUGGGCUGACACUGACGC
rnacentral:rRNA from 1 species